rnacentral:rRNA from 1 species
GAUGAACGCUGGCGGCGUGCCUAAUACAUGCAAGUCGAGCGAAUGGAUUAAGAGCUUGCUCUUAUGAAGUUAGCGGCGGACGGGUGAGUAACACGUGGGUAACCUGCCCAUAAGACUGGGAUAACGCCCGGAAACCGGGGCCAAUACCGGAUAACAUUUUGAACCGCAUGGUUCGAAAUUGAAAGGCGGCUUCGGCUGUCACUUAUGGAUGGACCCGGCUCGCAUUAGCCAGUUGGUAAGGUAACGGCUCACCAAGGCAACGAUGCGUAGCCGACCUGAGAGGGUGAUCGGCCACACUGGGACUGAGACACGGCCCAGACUCCUACGGGAGGCAGCAGUAGGGAAUCUUCCGCAAUGGACGAAAGUCUGACGGAGCAACGCCGCGUGAGUGAUGAAGGCUUUCGGGUCGUAAAACUCUGUUGUUAGGGAAGAACAAGUGCUAGUUGAAUAAGCUGGCACCUUGACGGUACCUAACCAGAAAGCCACGGCUAACUACGUGCCAGCCGCCGCGGUAA